ensembl:lncRNA
UAUUUUUUUUAAGUAGAGACUUUUCUUUUAACCUAUACAGGAUGGCAGGAGCUUCAGCAGCUGCUUUGGAUUCUGAGCUGAAAUGAGGAUGGAGGUCAAAGGCUCAACAUGGUGAAGAAAAAAUACAGAAGAAACUUAAAUUUCUGAUGAGAGAUUUCAUGGUGCUAUUAUCUCAGCUCUAGACUGUCUCCUGUAGACUUCUUUUAUGAGAGAAAAAUCAAACUUUACCUUGUUCAAGCCAUUUCUACUAAACAUACCAUACUUUUAAUAAAACUGGGAGUAUGAGAAUUAGUUCAAUAAAAUUCUCUUCAGUGAACACUUUUCUUCGCUUUGGAACAGGUACUGUUUUAGGUCAGUUCUUAGAAAACAAUGUUUGAGAUAGAGAUUUGCACUCAGAAUUUUUAUAGGAAGGCUCUUGAGAACGAUCCCCCACAAGAAAGCAAAGGAACUAGGAUUGGGCAGAGAGAGAAGCUGAGAUGCAAAGCAGCUGUGGGAGAGAGCUCAGCUGAUUUUACCAGAGUUUCUGAAGCUGAGCUGGUUUUCCAGAGGUUAUCCUGUAUCAGGACCAGGAGGUACACAUAUAGAAAUGUAUCAGCCUUCUAGGUGGCACAGUGGUAAAGAACCCGCUCACCAGUGCAGGAGACAGAAGAGAUGGGGUUCAGUCCCUGGGUCGGGAAGAUCCCCUGGAGAAGGAAAUGGCAACCCGCUCCAGUAUUCUCACCUGGAAAAUUCCAUGGACGGAGGAGGCUGCAAAAACUCCUAUAUAUCCUGGCUCCUCUUUUACCUUUUUGGAUCACAGCAAUCUGAGAGGCUGUCUCUCGGUCUACAGUUCUCAAUAAGGUCCUCAAAUAAAACAUAACUCUUAGCUUUUAGGCUGUGGAUUUUUGUUUUCUUUAGUUGACAGUUUUGGUGACCAAUGAAAGAACCCAGAACAAGCUUCUCUCCUUCACUUGAACUCUAUUAGAAUUUGGAGCCUUGGUACCGGCAGAGAGGCCUCCUUGGAGAGUUCAGACGAAUUUGGGUCAGUCUCUUCUGGGUCUCGGAUCUGCCAUUAUUGACUGAUGAUCCUAAGUUUUAUUUAGUGGUGUUAAGCUCCUUGCUACAGGAGUACAUUUUCCUUGAAACUUAGUUUCAAGAAGCAGCACCUAAGUUAUCCUUAGUUGAAAGACACUGGGAGGAUUUACUAUAUAUGUAGAGAAUAUAUUCUCAAAAGUACUUAAUUGGAAACUAAAGAAAAUGUUGUUCUAAAAAUGGCCAAAUUAGAGUUUUUUAACAUUCCAAAAUUAUUAUUAUCAUUUUUGCAUGCACAGCUUGAAAAAACCAGCUUGGAAAAUAUCUCUUCAGAAUUCUGACCUUAAAGGAACAAGAGCCCUUCUAGGGGGUACCUGCAUUUCUCUCCCUGUGUCUUUGAGAUAUAAAUAUUCUACCUGCUCUUAGCCUAUUUUUCCUGUGUUUUGAGGGCUUGGUCUCUGCCAUCCAGAAUGUGUGCAUACAGUGUAUAUUUGGCAAUCAGUCAAAUAGACUGGAAUUCUGAGAAGCCUUUUGUCUGGCUGGGCCAGUUCUCAAGGGACUUUGUCAUCUUAACUUUCAUUGUGC